GGAAGGAUCAUUCGAAUUCAAAAACAACAAACCACAGCUGGUGUCAUAUAAUUCUUUUCUCUUAUCUAUUUAAAGAUUACACUUUCAACGAUGGAUGUCUCGGGUCUCUCAACGAAGAAGAGCGCAGCGAACUGCGAUAAGCAGCAUGACUAGCAUCCUCUGUGAAUCAUCAGAUUCUUGAACGCAAAUGGCAGUUGUUUGGGUCUCCAACGACUAUGUUUGCUUCAGUGUCAUAUAAAAUCGUUCCUAUUUAAAUUUAAAUGGGGUGCUUGGUGGGUACACAUGUAUUCGCUUGAAGUUUGAUCAAGCAGACGGUUCUGCAAACGGAUUUCCCGCCUUGCAGGAGUGUUGAUCUGAUCGAAUUACACGCUUUUGACCUGAAGUCAAGCAAGGCUACCCGCUGAAUUUAAGCAUAUAAUUAAGCGGAGGAAAAGAAACUAACUAGGAUUCCCUUAGUAGUGGCGAACGAAGUGGGAAGAGCCCAAACCGUUAAUCGUUUGCUUCCGGCAAACGAGUUGAGGUUUUGCUGACUAACCAGACGUACAUCAGAGUUGAGCCUCGUGAAUGCGAGCGUCAUAGAGGGUGAGGACCCCGUCCUUACUCUGAAUGCUUCGUCGUACGGUUGUCAGUGAUUGAGUCGUGUUCCUUGGGAGUGGAGCGCAAAUUGGGUGGUAGCUUUCAUCCUCGGCUAGAUACUGGAGAGACACCGAUAGUGAAGAAGUACCGUGAGGGAAAGAUGAAAAGAACCUCGAGAGGGGUAUUAAAAUUGCCUGAAACCGUUGAAAGGGAAGCGAUUGGAGACUUAGUUGCCAGAUUCACACAGGGCUCGCAACUUCCUGGCGCUGUUCGCAAGUCAGCACAGGUUGUUUGCUUGUUUCGUGUUGUUUCGCAAGCCGGCUAGGUCUGGAUCAGUUGCAGGUUGAGUUCUUGUACUCGGGUUCUCCUGAGUAGUUCUUGAUUUAGCGCUGAUCUUGACGAGUGAUGUAGCCGUCGCAAACGUCUUCAAACGACCCGUCUUGAAACACGGACCAAGGAGUCUAACUUACGUGCAAGUCCUAAGGUGGCAAACCUUGAGGCGUAAUGAAAGUGAUAGUUUGGAUGUCUUCUGCACAAACGACCGACUUCAGUAAUGAGGUUCGCGUAUGAGCAUGUAGGUUCGGACCCGAAAGAUGGUGAACUAUGCCUGAAUAGGGUGAAGCCAGGGGAAACCCUGGUGGUGGCUCGUAGCGAUACUGACGUGCAAAUCGUUCGUCAAAUUUGGGUAUAGGGGCGAAAGACUAAUCGAACCAUCUAGUAGCUGGUUCCCUC
rnacentral:misc_RNA from 1 species